UGUUCAGCAGCAUUGCUCUCUUUUAUCCGUUAGCACUGAAAGCGGAUGUAUGGAGGAAAGGAAACCUAGAACACAAUUCGCUCGCGCUAUUUGCCUCCAAACCGAAGCUGGUGUGUGUGGUCCAGCGCUCUGUCUUUGUCCACUUUUGAAAACUUAGUGCGCACAUACUACAGGCAGCCCAGCGGCCAUCCACGACACUAGUGUGCCCCCACCACCUCCCCCCAAAGCCUGGGAACGAACCCCCGGCCAAUCCUACCUCCAGAGAAAGAUCCUUUCGUCAUGGUGAAACAGCCAAAGACUCACUGAACAAGAAGAAAAAAGUAGUUGAAAUGUACAGCUGAAAAGACUCAGACUGAUGAGAACAAGUAGAAAAGCAACUGAGGAUCUUGGAUCAUCAUGGGAAUGCUGGCAGGGAAAGCAAAUCAAGUAUGGACAGGAAUACUGAUGUCACUUCAAACAGGAAGUGCCUACCCUUCGACCUCAGAUGAUAUAUAAAGAAGGACAAAGCCAGAAGUUGGCAUUUAUUUGUAGAACCCGCAUCUGAGUGUGUGUUUCAUCAUACCAUCUGCAACUAUUUACAGACCUGUAAACCACUGUGACCUUCAGUAUAUGAAUCAACUCUCGCCAGCAGCCGUGCAGUGCAUGCAUACGAAUGCCAUUCUCAUCCUUACCACCUUCGCUGUCACUUCCUCUACUUCUUCACAUCUUAAAUCAUUGUUGAGGCAGAUUGAAGACUUAAGUGCCAGCUUAAGUGAAAAAUUAAGGAAAACGUACUAAGUAACUGCAAUACAAACACUGACUUAAUCAGUUUUAACAUGAAAGAUGCCGAUGAAAGAAGAAAAGAAGCGAGCUGCUAGGGUGGAGAAAACAAGAGCUGCUCAGGAAGCAGCAAGCGCAUCAACCUCUGAGAAAUCGAAUGCUAAACGUACAGAGAAAGAGGAUGAAAACUAUAAGUCAAGUGUAUUCACUGCACGUUAUCCUGCAUUGCACCAUUACUGGUUUUUCAUAUGUUUUAUUGGAAUUAAAGAGAGACGAAAGGGUUGGCACCCGAACAUUUUCCAGUGGAGCCAUGCAGUUCCUUUCUCUGCCAUAUGCAUACCAUCUUCAAUGUUUGUUUUAAUUGUUAUGCUUACAGUUUGUUAACAUGUUGUAGUGCUGACUGGCAUUUCUAAGGCCUGUGCGGGUGAGUAAGCUCAGCAAAUAAUAAAAUGCUGUCCCAUCAUCGUCUCCUUCCAGCCUUACUCUUUCUCCAGCUAAGAAAGACUGUGUUCAUGCAAACUAAGGAAAUUAUUCUAGGUGAAAGCAGAAAGUCUUCUGAGAGACGAGAGGCGGGACUGUAGACAGAUUUUCUUCAGACCGAGACUUCCAGAGGCCUUUCACUAAAUGUCAGUGUGAAGCGGUAUAAAUUGAGAGGUAAUUACUGCUGCUCUGACUGAACAGCAGGAAGCUUGGCAUUUCUGUUUUAGGAAAUGACGGAUGUUGCCAUUCCUGGUAGCUAGUGAUCUUAUUUUUAUGUUAUGAAAAAGGCCUAAAUAAAAUAAUAGCAGCAGAACAUCCUAUGAGGGUUAUACCACACGGUUGCUUAAUCCCCCUCAAUUUGGAAUUUUAUGUUGAGUAAGAAAAUGGUACAAAACAAAAGGUGAGAAAACUUUCCCUUGAGGUGUCAUUAAGGCUUUGUGUCCAGGUAGAAUACUACAAAUCUGACUUGGAGAAAGACUUGCAAAAUGCUUGGCAAGAACUAAUUAGGAAAGAGUGCUUCAAGUAUAAUGCAGAGGAGCAGAGUUUAGGCAGAAUGUAAGAUUUAUUUACAAAUUCAUUAUGAAACCUGCUUAAUCCCCUUUAUGGUGAUGAAGCUCAUAGCCUUUCCCAGCAGCAUCGGAUCAGACUCAAGCACCAGCCCUGGGUGGGCACCAGUCCAUUGCUGGGCACAGCCAUGCAUACACCCAGUCAAGCCAACUGAGGGUUGCAAAUGAACUAAAUAUGUUCAUGCAGUGGUUUGAGAAAGCAUUGACCCCAUCAACUUUUACACCAUUUAGCGUUGUGCUAAAAUAAUUUAAAUUCUUUUUUCCUUUCAUCGAGCAAUACUCAAUACCACUGAAUGACGGAAUGAAAAUAGGAUUUUAGAAAUUGAUAAAAAUUAAAAGCCGAAGUAUCACAUUAACAGAAGUAUUUUGUUUUGACACUUUGAUCCCAUUCCAUAGAUCAUCAUUGAGAUGUUUCUACACCUUCUUUGGAGUCCACAUGUCGUCAAUCCAAUUGACUGGUAAGGCACACAACUGUCUAUUGAAGGUUUCACGGCUUACAAUGUGUAUCAGAGCAAAAACCAAGCCAUGAAGGUGAAGGAAUUGCAUGCAGAGCUUUGAGACAGGAUUGUAUUGAGGGACAAAACUGGAGAAGGCCAAAGAAAAUUCCUACAGCAUUGACAGUUCCCAAGAAAGCAGUUGCCUUCAUAAUUCUUAAAUGUGAGAAGUCUGAAAAACAACCGCAACCCCUUUUAGAGAUGGAUACCUGGCACAAUGGAGGGAGAAAGGCCAUGGUGAGAGAGCUGACCAAGAACCCAAUGGUCACUCUGGCUGAGCACCAGAGAAACGUGUAGAGAGCAGGGAGAAACUUCCAGAAGGAUAACCGUCACUGCAAGACUUCACUGAUCUUGACUUUAUGACCGAGUUGCCACACAGAAACCUCUCACAUACUGUAUGAAAGAUCAUUUAGAGUUUGCAAAAAGGCACCUGAAGAACUCUCAGACUGUAACAAACAAUGUUCUCUGCUCUGAUGAAACCAAGAUUAGUGUCAUAUUUGGAGGAAACCAUUUACUACUUAUUACCUGCACAAUGCUAUUCGAAAAGUGAAGUAUGGUGGUGGCCACAUCAUGCUGUGGGGUUGUUUUUCAGCGGCACGUUCUGGUAGGCUACACAAAGUUUAGAAAAACCUUAAUGAAGGGUAGUACAGAGAUACCCUCAAUGAAGACCUGCUCCAGAGUGCUCUGAAAACCAGCCUGGGAUGAAAGUUCACCUUCCAACAGGAUAAUAAACCUAAACACAAAGCAAAAAUAACACAGGUGUCACUUAGGGAAUGUCCUGGAGGGGCACAGCUGCCAGAAUCCAGACUUUUGAACCCAACUGAACAUGUCUGGAGAGACCUGGAAAUAGCUGUCCAGUGAUGGUCUCCAUCCAACCUGACAGAGCAUAAGAAGAUCUGCAGAGAAGAAUGGCAGAAAAUCCUCAAAUCUGGGUCCAAGCUUAUCGGGUCAGACACAAGAAGACUUUCAAGAUGUAAUCACUGCCAAAAGGACUUUAUAGAAAUAGAAACCCAUUUUAUUGAUGGAACUGUUGAUUGGGCCUUAAAGUCAUAAGCAUCUUUCUAAAUUAAAUUUUUGAGAUGAAUUGUAACCUGGAUGUUAAGCUGGUUCAGCUUUAUUAUACAUGGAAAAUUUCAUUAUGAUUCACUUGGCUGUUUUGGAAUAGUGGUUUCCCCAAUUAGGGCACCCCUCCACUUUUGAAAAAAAAUUUUAAAACACCAUUUAGCCAAUGUUUUAGGUUAGACCAAUGACUACCUACAAACAAAAUGUCAUGAAAAUUGGUGCAGCCAUUUUAAUGGGAUUGCAUCACGAUAAAGUCGGGCAAUUCACCUCACUCAAUUUUGGUGAAUCGCAAAGUAGCCUUCCUCUUUGCUGCAUCCCUGAAAUGCCAUCUCACAGCCCUUGUUGGUGCAGGCACCCCAGUUUGGGAAUCCCAGCAUUUUUAUAUAAUUAAAGCAUCUUUUUAAAAGUUCACUCUUUUAAACAUUAUAAGAAAUGUCCUUUUCUUUCCAGAAAAGUUCUGCUCAUUCCUCCAACAAUUCGACUUUUCAUUUGACUCUAAGCAUAUCGUAAUUUAGGAAGCCAAAGAAUUCUCGUUAUGUAUUAAAAAUGGGGAUAUAUGAUAACUCAAAUCUAAUGUAUUCAAUGCUUGCGGAGAGUGGUAAUUAUUAUUAUAAUUAUUCUGUUGUUUUUGUUUCAUUAACAAGAUCAAUAAUGACUAUGUGAACUCAAACUGCCUAAUUAGAAAGCAACAGAGCUCUGUGCCACAGCCCAAUUCUUAAUUCCUCAUUCUCUCCC